UGCUACUUUUGCCGGCGAGCGGCGGACGGGUGAGUAAUGCCUGGGAAAUUGCCCAGUCGAGGGGGAUAACAGUUGGAAACGACUGCUAAUACCGCAUACGCCCUACGGGGGAAAGCAGGGGACCUUCGGGCCUUGCGCGAUUGGAUAUGCCCAGGUGGGAUUAGCUAGUUGGUGAGGUAAUGGCUCACCAAGGCGACGAUCCCUAGCUGGUCUGAGAGGAUGAUCAGCCACACUGGAACUGAGACACGGUCCAGACUCCUACGGGAGGCAGCAGUGGGGAAUAUUGCACAAUGGGGGAAACCCUGAUGCAGCCAUGCCGCGUGUGUGAAGAAGGCCUUCGGGUUGUAAAGCACUUUCAGCGAGGAGGAAAGGUCAGUAGCUAAUAUCUGCUGGCUGUGACGUUACUCGCAGAAGAAGCACCGGCUAACUCCGUGCCAGCAGCCGGCGGUAAUA
rnacentral:rRNA from 1 species